CUAUGCAGGAGGGAGCCUGAAUCUGCGGCACACAUCCUUUUCCAAUGCCGAUACUCACUCAGAGUAUGGGCGGCCGUAAAGACGGGGUUUGAUGUACCAGAAUUAAACUUUGCGGUCUGGGGAGGUUUCCGCACGGUUCAACAUUAGUGGACAACCACUGUCCCUCGCCGCGGUCAUCGGAGAAGGGCAGUCUCUUCGCUCCUCAUGCUCGUUUGUUGGGAGAUCUGGAAUGACAGGAACGCUAGAGCUUUCAGAAGCAAGUCCUCCCUGCCUUCUUUGCUAAUUAACAGCAUCCACCUGGAGACUAAAAAUUGGGUACUUGUGGGGGCAAAACAUUUGGACACACUGGUGCCGCAAGAGUAG
rnacentral:rRNA from 1 species